rnacentral:rRNA from 1 species
GGGUGCGAUCAUACCAGCACUAAUGCACCGGAUCCCAUCAGAACUCCGAAGUUAAGCGUGCUAGGGCGAGAGUAGUACUAGGAUGGGUGACCCCCUGGGAAGUCCUCGUGUUGACCC